GAUGAAGAACGUAGCGAAAUGCGAUAAGUAAUGUGAAUUGCAGAAUUCAGUGAAUCAUCGAAUCUUUGAACGCACAUUGCGCCCGCCAGUAUUCUGGCGGGCAUGCCUGUUCGAGCGUCAUUACAACCCUCAGGCCCCCGGGCCUGGCGUUGGGGAUCGGCGGAGCCCCCCGUGGGCACACGCCGUCCCCCAAAUGCAGUGGCGGUCCCGCCGCAGCUUCCAUCGCGUAGUAGCUAACACCUCGCGACUGGAGAGCGGCGCGGCCACGCCGUAAAACACCCAACUCUUCUGAAGUUGACCUCGAAUCAGGUAGGAAUACCCGCUGAACUUAAGCAUAUCCAAUAAGCGGAGGA
rnacentral:misc_RNA from 1 species